AUCAACGCUGGCGGCGUGCCUCAGACAUGCAAGUCGAACGCGAAAGUCCCCUUCGGGGGACAAGUAGAGUGGCGCACGGGUGAGUAACACGUAGGUAAUCUACCUUUGGAUGGGGAAUAACAACCGGAAACGGUUGCUAAUACCGCAUAAUGCAGCGGCACCUAAUGGUGACAGUUGUUAAAGCGGGGGAUCGAAAGACCUCGCGUCUGAAGAGGAGCCUGCGGCGGAUUAGCUAGUGGUAAGGUAAUGGCUUACCAAGGCUACGAUCCGUAACCGGCCUGAGAGGGCGGUCGGGUCACACUGACACUGACAUACGGGUCAGACUCCUACGGGAGGCAGCAGUCGGGAAUUUUGGGCAAUGGGCGGAAGCCUGACCCAGCAACGCCGCGUGAAGGAUGAAAUCCCUCGGGAUGUAAACUUCGCAAGAACGGGAAGAAUUAGUAGGGGUCAAUACCCCCUAUGAUGACGGUACCGUUUGUAAGCUCCGGCUAACUCCGUGCCAGCAGCCGCCGU
rnacentral:rRNA from 1 species